rnacentral:ribozyme from 1 species
GGUCCUGGUCGAGGUCGGUGGAAACAGAGGCGUGGAUUGUCGAAUGGGCGUGACGUCGUGGAUGCGAGUACGCUGGUGCGCAAGUUGUCGCUGGAGUCGGAU